UAAGAAUUUUAAGAUCCGGCGGCUCUCCCU
rnacentral:piRNA from 1 species